UACGAAGGGUGCAAACGUUGCUCGGAAUCAUUGGGCGUAAAGAGCGCGCAGGCGGCUUGGCAAGUCGGGUGUGAAAUCCCGGGGCUCAACCCCAGGACUGCAUUCGAUACUGUCAGGCUAGAGGUAGGUAGGGGAGAUCGGAAUUCCUGGUGUAGCGGUGAAAUGCGCAGAUAUCAGGAGGAACACCGGUGGCGAAGGCGGAUCUCUGGGCCUUACCUGACGCUCAGGCGCGAAAGCUAGGGGAGCGAACAGG
rnacentral:rRNA from 1 species